CGGACGGGUGAGUAACACGUAAAGAACCUGCCCUCAGGUCUGGGAUAACCACGAGAAAUCGGGGCUAAUACCGGAUGGGUCAUCGGACCGCAUGGUCCGAGGAUGAAAGGCGCUUCGGCGUCGCCUGGGGAUGGCUUUGCGGUGCAUUAGCUAGUUGGUGGGGUAAUGGCCCACCAAGGCGACGAUGCAUAGCCGACCUGAGAGGGUGAUCGGCCACACUGGGACUGAGACACGGCCCAGACUCCUACGGGAGGCAGCAGUAGGGAAUCUUCCACAAUGGACGAAAGUCUGAUGGAGCAACGCCGCGUGAACGAUGAAGGCCUUCGGGUCGUAAAGUUCUGUUGUAAGGGAAGAACAAGUGCCGCAGGCAAUGGCGGCACCUUGACGGUACCUUGCGAGAAAGCCACGGCUAACUACGUGCCAGCAGCCGCGGUAAUACGUAGGUGGCAAGCGUUGUCCGGAAUUAUUGGGCGUAAAGCGCGCGCAGGCGGCCUCUUAAGUCUGAUGUGAAAGCCCCCGGCUCAACCGGGGAGGGCCAUUGGAAACUGGGAGGCUUGAGU
rnacentral:rRNA from 1 species